rnacentral:rRNA from 1 species
GAUGAACGCUGGCGGCGUGCCUAAUACAUGCAAGUCGAGCGAACGGACGAGAAGCUUGCUUCUCUGAUGUUAGCGGCGGACGGGUGAGUAACACGUGGAUAACCUACCUAUAAGACUGGAAUAACUUCGGGAAACCGUAGCUAAUACCGGAUAAUAUUUUGAACCGCAUGGUUCAAAAGUGAAAGACGGUCUUGCUGUCACUUAUAGAUGGAUCCGCGCUGCAUUAGCUAGUUGGUAAGGUAACGGCUUACCAAGGAACGAUGCAUAGCCGACCUGAGAGGGUGAUCGGCCACACUGGAACUGAGACACGGUCCAGACUCCUACGGGAGGCAGCAGUAGGGAAUCUUCCGCAAUGGGCGAAAGCCUGACGGAGCAACGCCGCGUGAGUGAUGAAGGUCUUCGGAUCGUAAAACUCUGUUAUUAGGGAAGAACAUAUGUGUAAGUAACUGUGCACAUCUUGACGGUACCUAAUCAGAAAGCCACGGCUAACUACGUG